rnacentral:misc_RNA from 1 species
AGUCGUAACAAGGUAUCCGUAGGUGAACCUGCGGAUGGAUCAUUAACAAAGGUGAUUUUGAAGUUGUGUGAACAGUUGGAGGUGGUGGUGGUGGUGGUGGUAUUGGGUGGUACUGGGUGGUACUGGGUGGUACUGGGUGGUACUGGGUGGUAUUGGGUGGUAUUGGGUGGUAUUGAGUGGUGUAACCUUGGUCUAACCUUGGUCAACCUCACUCAACCUCACUCAACCUCACUCUCCCACUCUCCCAACCUCCACCACUCCGUCCCUAUAAUGUAUACAAACUGAUGUCUGCUAGUUUCAAACUAAAACAACUUUUAGCAACGGAUCUCUUGGCUCUC